GCCCUUGACUUCAGGUGUCACUCGACCAAGUCUUCCUUCAUGUUGGGCUGAUCAGAAGAGCAAUGUCCAGAGCCUCCAAGCUCUGACCCAGGACACAAGGUCCUCUGAGAGAGCAGAUGUGACUGCUGGCUUGUGAUUCUGUGUCCUCCUGGAGCACGGGACUUCUGAGAACACCAGGGGGAGAUUUCACAGACAAAAUCCUCCUUUGAGUUUUUCAGUGAAGGAAAUACUGGAAGUAGUAUGUCACUUUUAAAAACUGAUAAAAGGAUCACAUUUCUAUUAAUUAAAUGGGAGAGGGGGAUUUUUCUUGGAUAAUGAAUGUCUGAGCUUCUUAGAGAAGAGGAGUGAGAGAAGUGAGUCCCAGACUCUUAUUCUUUUUCUUUUGUUCUUGGAGUCCGGACAGAGCCAAGAGGAGAAGGAAGGAAAGGUGGAACCUUGAAAGGUAAGGUUCUGUCUAUUUGACCUCAGCUCUCCAAGGUUGAGCUUUCCUGUUCCUUCCAUGAGCUCCCAGAUUCGUGAUCUCUGAGAAUGUCAGGUGCUACAUACAGUCUCUCUGAGAAAACAGAGCCCUCCAAAGAAGGCUCACAGAAGACAACUGGUCCUCAGAUACUUCUCAGAGUCUCCGCUCAGCCCAUCUGUGGGCGUGAAGCAGUGAUGGACCUGGGCAAUUGGUAUUGCCCAAUAGGUGGCCACGGUAGAUGUCAAGUAAGGAUUACAGCUUGGUUUGGAAUCAGAACUUUUGUCUCCUGACUUUGUGCUGUGUUUCCAGCAUCAUUUUUCACCUCGUGAACCCUGCACCUUUGCUCUUCUAGAGUAACAGCAACACCUGAACAGGGAUGUGUUGAAUAUUUGGAGGGAGUUGAGGAAACCAGGGGAGGUGAACGUGGAGAGGAGAGAGUCUCCUGCCAGUGCCAAGAAGAGGAUAGAAAGUAUUCUUAAUUUGGUUUCCAGACAACUGCAUUGUCUCCCUUUAUUUAUUAAUGGAUUGACUCAAGAGAUGUCAUAAACUAUGUUGUUUUUAGUUUGGGCAUCUAUAAGGUUUGCUGUAAGGACUCUGUCUUCAUGCCUCUCACUCAACUCUAUCCCAUUGCAGGGAGUCGGGGAGCAGAAUGUAAAAUCAUUUUGUAUAUUGUUAUGCUACACAAAUAAAAUGUGCCCUCUUUAUAAAAUAUUUACUUAUGUUAUUUAAUAUUCAAAAACUUUUGAGCCCUAUUAUGUAGAGGAUAAGGAAGGGAAAACAGCAAUUUUCUUUAAUGUAGAAAGUUUACAUUCUAGUGAAGAAGAAGGCAAAAGAACAACAUAAUGUUUGUGGGAAGUUAGGUGGGCAUUUGGGAACAGAGUCCUGCAACCAGUAUGUCCUAGAGGGUUUCCUGGAAGAAUAGAGAGAGAAAAAAAUGUGUCUCUUCCACAGAGACAGUGGGAAAAGGGAAAGGCGAUGGGAUGUAAUGAAAGAAAAGAAGUCCCUUGUGGCUGGAAAAUAGAUAGAAGGGAGAGUGACACUUGAAGAAAUUUCAAUAAUUUCAUCAAAUCAAAUAUAAUUGAUUUACUGGAGUAUAAAAUAUUACAGUUGAAAGCAGACUAAUUAGAAGGAAAAAUAAAAAUGAAUUCCAAUGCUCACAUUUUAGAGAUGAAAAAAUGAAAGCACACAGAGCUCAUGGGUUCUUAGUGAAUUCCAUGCAAAUCAUUUUGGAAGAGCUAUUAAUAGCAUGAAUUGUUUUUAGAUGAAUGAUAUA